rnacentral:rRNA from 1 species
CCAAUAGCGUAUAUUAAAGUUGUUGCAGUUAAAAAGCUCGUAGUUGAAUUUCGGGAUCAAUUUAUCGGUCGUGCCUACGGUAUGAACUGGUACAAUUGGUUUCUCCCUUCUGACGAAGCUCGAUAUCAUUAACUUGGUGUCGGGGGGAAUCAGGACUGUUACUUUGAAAAAAUUAGAGUGUUUAAAGCAGGCCUUGGCGUGAAUACAUUAGCAUGGAAUAAUGAAAUAGGACGUUUGAUCCUAUUUCGUUGGUUUCUAGGAUCGACGUAAUGAUUAAUAGGGGUAGUUGGGGUCAUUAGUAUUCAAUUGUCAGCAGUGAAAUUCUUGGAUUUAUUGAAGACUAACUACUGCGAAAGCAUUUGCCAAGGAUGUUUUCAUUAAUCAAGAACGAAAGUUAGGAGAUCGAAGACGAUCAGAUACCGUCGUAGUCUUAACCAUAAACUAUGCCGACUAGGGAUCGGAUGAUGUUAAUUUUUUAAUGACUCAUUCGGCGCCUUACG